rnacentral:rRNA from 1 species
CGGCGGAUGCUACUAUGCAGUCGAACGGUAACAGGAAACAGCUUGCUGUUUUGCUGACGAGUGGCGGACGGGUGAGUAAUGUCUGGGAAACUGCCUGAUGGAGGGGGAUAACUACUGGAAACGGUAGCUAAUACCGCAUAACGUCGCAAGACCAAAGAGGGGGACCUUCGGGCCUCUUGCCAUCGGAUGUGCCCAGAUGGGAUUAGCUAGUAGGUGGGGUAACGGCUCACCUAGGCGACGAUCCCUAGCUGGUCUGAGAGGAUGACCAGCCACACUGGAACUGAGACACGGUCCAGACUCCUACGGGAGGCAGCAGUGGGGAAUAUUGCACAAUGGGCGCAAGCCUGAUGCAGCCAUGCCGCGUGUAUGAAGAAGGCCUUCGGGUUGUAAAGUACUUUCAGCGGGGAGGAAGGGAGUAAAGUUAAUACCUUUGCUCAUUGACGUUACCCGCAGAAGAAGCACCGGCUAACUCCGUGCCAGCAGCCGCGGUAAUACGGAGGGUGCAAGCGUUAAUCGGAAUUACUGGGCGUAAAGCGCACGCAGGCGGUUUGUUAAGUCAGAUGUGAAAUCCCCGGGCUCAACCUGGGAACUGCAUCUGAU